UACAGAGGUCUCAAGCGUUGUUCGGAUUCAUUGGGCGUAAAGGGCGCGUAGGCGGCCUGUGCAAGUCAGUUGUGAAAUCUCCGAGCUUAACUCGGAACGGUCAACUGAUACUGCUCGGCUAGAGUGCGGAAGGGGCAACUGGAAUUCUUGGUGUAGCGGUGAAAUGCGUAGAUAUCAGGAGGAACACCGGUGGCGAAGGCGGGUCUCUGGGCCGAUACUGACGCUGAGGAGCGAAAGCGUGGGGAGCGAACAGG
rnacentral:rRNA from 1 species